ensembl:miRNA MIR101-1 microRNA 101-1
UCAGUUAUCACAGUGCUGAUGCUGUCCAUCUUAAAGGUACAGUACUGUGAUAACUGAAG